rnacentral:rRNA from 1 species
CCUACGGGAGGCAGCAGUGGGGGAUAUUGGACAAUGGGGGAAACCCUGAUCCAGCGACGCCGCGUGAGUGAAGAAGUAUUUCGGUAUGUAAAGCCCUGUCAGCAGGGAAGAAAGAAAUGACGGUACCUGACCAAGAAGCCCUGGCUAACUACGUGCCAGCAGCCGCGGUCAUACGUAGGGGGCAAGCGUUAUCCGGAAUUACUGGGUGUAAAGGGAGCGUAGACGGUGAUGCAAGGCUGGAGUGAAAGGCGGGGGCCCAACCCCCGGACUGCUCUGGAAACUGUGUAACUUGAGUGCCGGAGAGGUAAGCGGAAUUCCUGGUGUAGCGGUGAAAUGCGUAGAUAUUAGGAAGAACACCAGUGGCGAAGGCAGCUUACUGGACUGUAACUGACGUUGAGGCUCGAAAGCGUGGGGAGCGAACAGGAUUAGAUACCCGGGUAGUC